rnacentral:rRNA from 1 species
UACAGAGGGUGCAAGCGUUAAUCGGAAUUAUUGGGCGUAAAGCGCACGUAGGUGGUUUACUAAGCCAGCUGUGAAAUCCCCGGGCUCAACCUGGGCACUGCAGUUGGAACUGGUAAGCUAGAGUAGGGUAGAGGGGUGUGGAAUUCCAGGUGUAGCGGUGAAAUGCGUAGAUAUCUGGAGGAACAUCAGUGGCGAAGGCGACACCCUGGACUCAUACUGACACUGAGGUGCGAAAGCGUGGGGAACAAACAGG